AAUUGAGCAUGUCUGUAAAUAAUUUUAAAAUAUUUUCCAUAUUACAGGAUAAUUAAUUUCAAAGAAUUACUAAACAAGAUUUACGAGCCAGGAGCUGAAAUAAUUUGUGAUGUCCUAAACAGAACAAGAGAACACUUCAAAGACGACUGUAUUUCUGUCUCUAGUCUAAUAAGGAUGUUGUUUUUAGAUAUUGUAAGACAUGGAAAUCUAAAGGAACAUGUUUCCUUUUAUGCAGAUGCUUUAACAGAUCUCUUUAAUAAAGCUCAGACAAUGCAUUCCACCACACAAAGUUUUAUUCUAAUGACGGGUUUAAGCAUCGUUGAAUUGUACAUGAAAUCAAAUUUGGCGUU